AAGACUAUACUUUCAGGGAUCAUUUCUAUAGUUUUUGACUUGAGAAAUGCUUUUCUAAAGUGAUCAGUCUCGCUAACCACGAUGAUGAGUCGUGAUAUUCUCUUCUGAGCGCGAAGCGGACUUUGAGUAAUGAUUCAUUUCAUAUGCUCACUGUCAUUGAUGACCGUUCUUUGCUUCCUCGUGAAGCUCAGAGGAAGAGAAUAUGAUCAGAGUGGU